UACGGAGGGUGCGAGCGUUGUCCGGAAUCACUGGGCGUAAAGGGCGCGUAGGCGGUGCGAUAAGCGUGCGGUGAAAGCCUGGGGCUCAACCCCGGGUCGGCCGUGCGAACUGUCGGACUCGAGCACUGUAGGGGCAGGCGGAAUUCCGGGCGUAGCGGUGAAAUGCGUAGAUAUCUGGAGGAACACCGGUGGCGAAGGCGGCAUCCUGGACCAACACUGACACUGAGGAGCGAAAGCCAGGGGAGCAAACGGG
rnacentral:rRNA from 1 species